AUUUAUUUUGAGAUGUGUAAUAUACAUUUUAAUUGAAAUUUUUUAUAUGUUGAACUCAUUUUAAAGCAAAUUUAAGAGUGAAGGAUCAGUUUGCAUAAGAAAAUUAGCAUUAUUUACAUAAAAAAUAAGAUCUAAUAAUUUUAUAAUUUAUCAUCGAAAAAUCACCGGAAAAUUGUUUGUUAGAAAAUUGCGUAGGUAAUUGAUGUUUUUUCUUGUAGAGUUUAGGCUAGGCCCUCAUUUAAUAAUUUCUGACUCUGCCAUUGUAAUAUAAAUAUUUUAAUAAUAAAAUUAGUUUUUAAAAAUAACAACUAUGUCUUCAAGGUAGAUUAUACGUCAACGUCAUGCAGUUUUAGGUAGGUUUGGCCUGUUCUACCUACUUCCAUGGUUUUUUUGGCACUCUGACUUCACCGCCGCUUCAGAAAGCAGCUCUCGCCUCUCGCGGCACAAAGGCUAUCCUAGUCGUCGCCCUUGCCUCGUCCAGCUGUUGCGUCCGCCGUCCAGCCCUCGUCCAGCUGUUGCGUCCGCCGUCCAGCCCUCGUCAGUCGUCACGACUCACGAGAUUCGCUUUUGGCAGAUUUCGCAAGAUUUGCUUCCACGCUCGACUGCUUCGAGGAAGAUUCGUUCAACUGUGACUUGAGAAAAAAAAUUUCAGCCUAUGUCUUCUUCGCUUCUGCGGCCGUGCUCUUUAGCAUUUUCAUACCAGCUAGAGUAUUCAUUCAACUCCAAUCAUGUAAUGCUUGAUAUGCCUUGUCCACUGUGAAGAUGAGGAAGGGGAGGAUAAGGCAUAUUAAGGCUUUUACCGUAUUGUGGUCAUUUAUUUUAUGCAAUAUGUGUGGAUCAAUGGUUGCGCUCAUCUCCAACUUGUCCGGUGUGUCGAUCGUCAGUGAGCCUUGUCUGCUAUGAUGAUGAGGAAGGAGAGGAUAAGCAAUUGAGGUUUUUACUAGGUUGUGGCAACAUCCAACUUGUCCGAUGUGUUGAUUGUCGGUUUUGAAAAUUUUGCAGCUAUACCCGAUAAAUUUCUCCCACCAAAAUUAUCUUAUUUCUUAUAAUAUUAGAUAUUCUAAAAUAGUAAAAUGUUAUAUUUUGUUA